rnacentral:rRNA from 1 species
GAUGAACGCUGGCGGCAUGCCUAAUACAUGCAAGUCGAGCGAACGGACGAGAAGCUUGCUUCUCUGAUGUUAGCGGCGGACGGGUGAGUAACACGUGGAUAACCUACCUAUAAGACUGGGAUAACUUCGGGAAACCGGAGCUAAUACCGGAUAAUAUUUUGAACCGCAUGGUUCAAAAGUGAAAGACGGUCUUGCUGUCACUUAUAGAUGGAUCCGCGCUGCAUUAGCUAGUUGGUAAGGUAACGGCUUACCAAGGCAACGAUGCAUAGCCGACCUGAGAGGGUGAUCGGCCACACUGGAACUGAGACACGGUCCAGACUCCUACGGGAGGCAGCAGUAGGGAAUCUUCCGCAAUGGGCGAAAGCCUGACGGAGCAACGCCGCAUGAGUGAUGAAGGUCUUCGGAUCGUAAAACUCUGUUAUUAGGGAAGAACAUAUGUGUAAGUAACUGUGCACAUCUUGACGGUACCUAAUCAGAAAGCCACGGCUAACUACGUG